rnacentral:misc_RNA from 1 species
UGCUGGCUCUCAGUAGUGCAAAUGGAGUGAGGAUGAUCGUGUGUCGGGGGACGGCCGCUCGUGGAAUUGACGCAGCAAAAUGGGCGACCGAGCCAGGGGCCUCACCAUCGACGGCGUGCGGCUCAUCAAGGACCUCAAGGUGGUCGAGCUCAAGGCCGAGCUAGAGCGCCGAGGCCUAUCCAAGUCGGGCAGCAAGAAGGAACUGGUGGAACGUUUACGGAGUAGUGUACAAUUUGAAAACACAAAGUCCAAGGCAACAGCUGCUAUAAGUGAGGAGGAAGUUCCCAAUAGAUGGUUGCAAAAUGAAGCCAACUUAGACAACGACUUUAUCCGCGAAUAUUUUCAGUCCCAGCAGGCCCUCUACAGGCAGCAAAUUGAAGCUAGAAGACAGUAUAGAGAAACCAGUGGAGAAGGGGCAGCACCAUCAACUCCAGCAGCGGCUCUGCCCUCAGUCCAACAGGCGGCCCUUGGGGGCUCUCAGCAACCAGGCAAAGCCACUCCCUCAUCCCACAGCACCUCUCCAGCAUCUUCAUCAACAGCAGCAGCUGGAGGAGGAACAACCAGUGUUGGUCGAGUGCACAUACAUCCUGUGAGCAAAACUACUCCAGAUUUAACUGCGAAAGCAAGCUCAGGUCCUGCUCACAAGCCAUCCCCAAGCCCCUCUGUCAGAACCUCCUUAGCUGCUGGCGUAACCUCACUGUCAUCUGGCGGACAAGCACCAGCGGCUAAAGAGGGUGCUGCAAAGGCUUAUGCAAACACAGUGGUUGGUACUGCACCUCGUAUAACUAGUGGUGAAUCUUCGGUACCUUUGACCACUCGAACACCGCCUAGAGAAAAGCCACAGACUCAACUUACCAUUAAGGUUAAAUUAAAGAAUGAUGCAACAGCAGUAACCACCCCACAAACACCCUCAACAUCAUCAAGUUCCAGUAGACCUAGUAGAAGUUCAGCACGUGCUGCUCGAGAGCUCAGUAGAGUCUCACUCGAAGACUCAGAGGAGGAGGAUGACUCUGAGGGAAGGGAGGAGCGUCAGCCACCUGUGAGGCGUUCCAGGAAGCGCUCAGCGCGGCACUCGCAGACCCCAGAGGAUCCUGACUUUGUCGCAGCGGGCACCAGCCACUUGAGCAGUCCCCCGAGCAGUGAUCUCAAAGACAGAGUGCCGUCUCUUAGGAUUAAGUUACCUGAACCUGUGCCUAAUGUGAAUUUAAGUGUUUCAACAACAGUUGAUGAAAAACCAAAGAAAAGAAUAGAGAGUGUAUCUAUUAAUAGGAAAGAACCUAAUAGUUUAUUGGAUGCAAAGUGCAGACGCCCUGUUCAUAGCAUUAGGAAGCACGUGAAUGACCCUCCACAAGACAUUGAAGGCUCGCUCAACAGAGAGACCUUAGUACCUGAUGUAAGUGUUAGAUCCGCCGGUGAUAAUCUGAAAAAUCCAUGUCUUCAGGAAGGACCGAAACCCCCAGGGAAAAGCGGAGGCAGUGUUGGUGAUUCCAAGAACUUGAAAGAUACAUCGGUCAAACCUGAUUCUCCUGUGCCAUUAGACUGGUUGAAAAGAUCGCUAAGGACUAACCCUAAAAAACACGAACCCAGUGAGGCCGGUUCAAAUUCACAGGGACCAGACUAUGCAAGUUUACAACCAACGGUUUCGCUGAGACGUAUAGAGGCUGUACCCAGCACAGAGAGACAAAUUGCCAAAGAUGAACCAGUAGUGAGUCCUGUUAGCUUGAGUUGGAAAAGCCCAAGUGCUAGUGAAAGUCAAGAACCAGAAAGAAAAGCAGAAAGAGAAAGUUCUACGAGGAGAGAGAAUACGAGAAAUCAGUUGGAAAGCAAAUCUGGAAAUAAACUAAGUGCAGAGGAAAGAUUAGAGGCUUACAGUUCCAUCACUGUAUCAAAAGUUGAUACUCUAAAAAGAAAAGAACCGAGUGAUUUGAAUACCAGUAAAGGAGUAGAGUCGUCAACAUUAAGAACACUCCUUACAGGUGAAAGUAAAGAUAUUGUUAUAGUAGCUAACAAAAACAAAUCUGCAGCUGUUGAAGCACAAGACCAGCCUGACCAGAAGCAUUUGCCCAGUUUGAAAAGUCCUCAACAGAGAUCAAAAAGCACAGAAGACCUAGGUGUUAGUGCAUUAAGUUUGGUAAUAGUGCCCCCAGCAGAGAGUUUGUCCAGCACCAAACAGAGUGUAGGAAGAACCGUUGGGGAAACUCAAGUUAAAACUGUGAUAUAUGAGUCCAGUGAUCCAGAAUGGAAAACUGAUAGUACAAAGCCACAUUCUGAUUGCAAAUUCUCAAAAGAAACUGCCGAAAAGAAGGAACCUGACAAACACACUCAGGUUGCUCAAGACGUCACUCAAGGGCCAAAUGUUAAAAGGGACCCCAGCGUUAUAGAGGAAAAUUCAAAAACAGGGCUUGAAUGCAGCACUUCAGGUGGAACAACAGUUGCAUCUGGACACAAGGCAGCUAGUCUACCAACUGGUCCACUCAAAACAAAGAUCUGGGAAAAGUUGCUGACAACAGCACAGAAGAAAGACGUUUCCAAAGACACCCCAAAAGACUUGACCAAAAAGGAGGAAAAAGAGGAAACUUCUCAAGUUCAGCAGACUGACCAGCAUAUAAAAACAGAAACUGAUGUAAAGAAAGAGUUUGACAAAGAUCAAGAGACAACAGAUGAGACUUGCUCUAGCCAAGGAACUGAAAGCUUAGAUAAGCCAACUGAACAUCACGCUCAAGCCACAGAUGUAAAGGCAGUUGUGAUAACCAACACCCAGAUAACUGAAGCUGUGCACAAACCUGGUGAGUUGCUAGAGAAGAACACCAGAAAACCAAAUCUCAAAAGUGAGAAAGGAGAUGCUGCCCAAGAAACCAGCACAAAGGAAGAACUGAAAGUGUGUUCAUUAUCUGGAGCUCAGCAGGUGCCCCAGAAGGAUACCCUUACUUCAGGAACCAAAAGGGAAGUACUUCCUGAAACCCCAAAAGCCCCUGUAGUAAAUACUCUUGGCAAACCAGCACCUGUUGCAAAAGCAAAAUUGAUUCCAAAUUUAAAAACAUCUGUUACGGUUUCAACUGCAAGUGAAACUCCAGCCUCUACAAGUUGGAGAAAGGAAACAGUUUUUAAGAUAGAGGAGACUGAACCAGUUUCAGAAGAGGAAGUCAAGGCAGGUGCCCCAUCUAAACAGGAGAAAUUAGGGGAAGCCAGUAAGGAACCUAAAAACAAAAGCACAGAUAUCCAGAUCCAUAGAAAAGAAACUCUUGAACCAGUUACUGACAAGCCUCUGAAGGAAGAGCAGACUCUUCCAGAUUCAUCAGAUUCAGAUAAAAGAGAGCAAUCUGAUAAAAGUCAGACAAGCAAGAGCAAAUGGAAUAAAGCCUCCAAGGAAAGUCCAUCUGAACAGGAAUCAGACACAGAGAAGAAGCCAGACUUGGAAUCACAACCAGACCCCACAACAACACCAGUUCCAGAAAAGUUACUGCCUCCAGUUGCAAAAAGAUCACAGGCUGAUAGCAAGAGUGGGUUACAAUCUGAACCUAAAGUUGAACCUCCUAAAAAGAUAACCAGCGUUGAAUCAACAAAGCUUUUGGAAGACAGAGGAAAGUUUGCCCCUUGCCCAGCAGAUACAGAGGAUCAGCAGGUUAACCCAUCUGUAGAGAGCAAGGAACAAAUUGAUCCUGAGCCGUGCAAGGAAUCUGGUGUGUCCCAGGAACUAAGUUUUGUAAAAGUAGGAAAACUUGAAAGGCCACUGCCUACAGAUACCAGCUUAAAAGAAACUAGAGAAGCAGAGGAAAAGGCAGAAAAUCAGCCAUUUGGCCACAACCUAGAUAAAGUAAAUGUCUCAAGCAGUGAGAAGGAGAGAUCGCAGAUAGUGACUAGUACAGAAGGAAGGAUUAAUGAAAUACCUGUUUCAAGCCAACACAGAUUUUUAGCAUUUGAAACUGCUAAGAAAGAAGGAACUGAUUUGAGAGAGCUAGCAAGUAUUGAGAAAGAUCAGACACAUCAAGGUACUACUGUAAGUCCAAGAAGUCUAUCUGUUACAAGCCAAAUAACUGAGUGUAAAGAAGAUCCAACUACAGCCAGUAAAGUAACAUCUUGUGAAGAAGAGUCAGUUACAAAAGUCAAAGUAGAGGCUAGGAAAAAGGAACCAGUCUCAAUUUCAGAUCGCACACAUACUAAGAGUGAACACUUAAACAAAGUUUCAGGUGUGAAAGAUCCUCCUGUUUCCAGUAAAUUAAAGACUUCUGAAAACACUACAGUUUCUUCAAGCAAAGAUACUCUUCUUAAGAGAGAAGAACCAGUCCCAGCAGAUGAAGUUGACCUCCCUAAGAGAGAAGAACCAGCUCCAGCAGAUAAAAGUGAUUCACAGCUCACAAGCAAAGUAAUAAACAGCAAAGAAGAACCAGCAGUAUCAAGCAAACUUUCAGCAAUCAAAGCUGCAAGUAUUGAACAAAAUCCAUCAUCUGUAAUAGAAGUUACAUCUUGUGUGACAGAUUUCACUACUGAAAAGUCAGAAAGUGAGAAGAAAACAGCCCUCACUUCAGAAGAUUCUGUUAAGAAAGACCCGACUGUAACAUCUGAUAGUGAGAAAGAAUCGCCUCUGACAGCUAACGCUUCCAGCGGGGAAAAACAACCAGAAGUCUCGUCAGGAGUCUCUAAAUUCAAGGAAAAAACAUCUCUCACAGCAAAAGUUACCGAGCUAGAAGAAAAACCAGUUAUUACCACUAGUGCUGGAAAAUCUGUUACAACAGAAGUUCAGAGUCAAGAGGAAAAAACAUCCGUCUUAUCAGAAGUUUCUGCUGAAAAGAAAGGGCUUGCUGUCACAGGUGAACUCCAAAUCUGUAAAAAAGAAGCACCAGUUAUAUCAGAAGGUCUUAGUAGUGAGAGAGAACCAUCAGUGACAUCUGAACUCUCCAGUACUCAACCAUCUCUUCCAGGUAAAGUUCUCAGUCAGGAUAAGAAUAUCAUCGUCACAUGUGAAGUUUCAAGUAAUCAGCAAGAAUUACUCCCCACAACUGACAUUUCUAGUGGUGAAAAAGGAAUCACAUCCGAAGUUCUUAAGAGUGAGAAAGAGCCAUCUGUAUCCUCUAAAGUUACACCAGUAUUUCUCACUAGAAAAGAAAAACCAAUACAGACACCUGAAGUUCCCAGUGUUCAGAGAAAACUGUCCGAAACCUUUAAAACUUCAAGUAACAAGGAAGAACCAGCUGACACACUUGAAUUUCCCAGUAAUGAGAAAGAACUGAUUAGAACUAAAGCUCCAAGUAAUGAGAAGGAAUUAGCUGUAACAGGUGAAGCUCCCAUUAGUGAGCAAGAAUUAGCUACAAAAUCUAAAGCAGACUCUGGUGAGAAAGAACCUUCUGUAAAAUUGCAAGACUCCCCAAGUGAGAAAGAACCAGCUGUAAAAUCUGAAGCCUCUACUAGUGAGAGAGAACCAGCUGUACAACUGCAAGACUCCUCAAGUAAGAAAGAACCAGUUGUAGAAUUGAAAGCUGCCUCUAGUGAGAAAGAACCAUCAGUAAAAUCUGAAGUCUCUACUAGUGAGAAAGAACCAGCUGUAAAACUCCAAAAAUCCGCAAGUGAAAAAGAACCAGCUGUAGAAUUAGAAGCGGCCUCUAGUAAGAAAGAACCAUCGCUAAAAUCUGAAGCUUCUACGAGUGAGAAAGAAUCAGCUGUACAAGCACAAGAAUCCCCAAGUGAGAAAGAACCAGCGCUAGGAUCAAAAGCUGCCACAAGUGAGAAAGAACCAUCAGUAAAAUCUGAGGCCUCAGCUAGUGAGGAAGAACCAUCCAUAAAACCAGAAAACUCCCCAAGUGAGAAAGAACCAGCUGUAGGAUCAAAAGCUGCCACUAGUAAGAAGGAACCUGUGACUAAGAAAGAACCAAGUGUCGCAUCAGAAGUUCCCAUUAGUGAGAAAGAACCACAGUCAGCAGUCACAUCUGAGAACGCUCCAAAAGAUAAGAAAGAACCAACUACAACCUGCAAAACAUUCAACACUAAGGAAGAAUCAGUUGAAGAUUGUAAAAAGAAGGAACAAACCGUAACAGACCUACUAAGUGAUCAAGAACCAGCUGUGAAAUUAGAAGUUUCAGAAAACCAGAAAGAACCAGCUUUAGAAUCAAAAGCUUCUGAUAGUGAAAAAGAACCAGUGACAAAGGGAGAAGCUACUGUCACAUCAAAAGUUCCCGGUAGUAAGAAAGAGCCACUUCCUGUGGGGACAACUGAGAACACUCAGAAAGAAUCAGAGGUCACACGUGAAGUUGCAGUCUGUCCACCCCCAGACUCUCAAAUUAGUUUCACAGAGGCCAAAGCAUCUAACAUUGUUCGUGGUGUAAAGGCUGAAAGUGCAAAGGAAUCAGAGGAACCAAAGGAACCACAAAAAGUUCCAGGAGCAGAGACAGACCUUGCAAAAACCAGUGUUGAGGAAGUUAUACCUGAGGAAGUCUGUUCUGAGAGUGGUGCUGAACCAGAAGGAAACAGUCAAACUGCGUCAGAAGGUCUGCCCCUCCCACCUGUCCCUAGCCAUUUGAACCAGUCUUUUAAAGCUCCAGUAAAUGAGACCAAGUCUUUUUUAGAAGCAGAGGUUUCACUUGAUUCCAUACAGUCUGACUUGGAAGAUAGAACUUCAGAUUGCCACAAACCUGUAUCAGGUAAGCAAGGAGUAGCAUCACAAGAGGAAGGUUCAUCUGUUGUGGCUGUAGAUAAUCAUAAGGAAAAGGAAUCAAAAGAAGACCCUGUAGAGUGUCACAAAGAGCUCUCUAUCAAAGUAGGCCUAUCAUCACAAGACCUGAAAACUUUAAAUAACCUCAAAGAUCCUUACACAGAAUCAAAGGUUCCAAAUUGCCAGAGAGUCCUAUCCUCUAGCCAGGGAAAUUUGAUUUGUGGUAUUGAGAAGCUAAAAGUCCAAGAAAAAACACUUGGCAAGUCUACAGCUAGGCAAGAUAAUCAACAGAUUUCAGCAGUAGAUUUACUCGCUUCAAAGUCAGUUGACAAACAGCAAGCUGAAUCUAAAGUUUCAUGGCAAGGAAAUGCUGAGGAGGAUUCUCCCAAAAAUACCAAGGCAUCCAAAGCAUUAGAAUCAAAACUUUCUAAGGAAUCGUGUGUAGAAGAGGGCCUAUCUCAUGUUGAAAAAGUACAAGCUUUAAAGUCUGUUACUGAUAGGAGCCCAGAAAUCGAACUUGGAAGUAGUACUGUCUGUAUUUCAAAACAAAAAGAGUGUCAAGACCUACCUUCACGAUUAGAAGAUAAAUUAGAAAAAAGAGAUACUCCCAUCUUGAAACCAAGUCCAGUUGAUAAAGAUUGUCUCAAUUUCUUUGAGGAUAUUACAAUUCAAGAGAGUUCAUUAUCAUCUAAGAAGAGUGAAUCUCAUCAGGACGACAAACCUGACAAUUCAGUUACAAAAGAGGAAGUAUUAUCUUUGAAGAGUGAAAGUGUUGAUUCCAGUUCCUCAAAAAAGAGUGAAGCCACUUUGACUCAAGAGAAAGACAGUAGUGAGCCAAAAGACAAGAAGUCCCCUGAUUCUGAAAUCCAAAAUCCUGUUGCAGAAGAACAAUCAAAGGCUGUACCUGUUGAGCAACAGAACUCCCAAUUUGACAGUAGAUUAUUAAAAGUCUUUCCUGAAACAUCAAAACCGAAGGAUCAAGAUUUAGGCAGUGGUAUUCACAAAUCUUCCCUCAAAGUUUCCACAACUCUUGGUAAAGUCAGGAAACUUGAGAGUGAUUCAGUAUCAUCACAUCCACCAGAUAUUCGCAAAGAUAAAAGUUAUCCAAUUACAGAAGAUAAACUUCAACAACAAGAACAGUUUGGUAAUCCCUUGGAAUUAAAUACUGAUUUAAGUGUAGAGAAUCUACGUUUAUCUAAAAGUACAGUGUAUGAUCAGAAAGACUAUAACUGUUCUCUCGGUUUUGUUAAGAACCCAACUGAAAGUAUCACAAAGGAGUUAGACACUCCAUUGAAUGCUACAGCAACUGUUGAGGCUAAAUCUUUGAGUGUAUCAGCAGCACCAUCUUAUCAGACUGAUUGUACAAGUGGAAACUCUCCCAGGGUUCCCAUAUCAGAACCCAAUCCCUUUGUCAAGAGGACAGAUACACCAGAGUGUGUCCUUAACUCACGUGCACUAGAUAAGAAAGGGCGCUUGACUUCAAAAGAUUUCUCGUCAACUGGUGUUCUAUAUCUAGCAUCAAACCCAGCCUCUGAAGAUCCAAAGAAACAAAAGGAUCUUGUGGAAAGGGAUGAGGCAACUCCUGCAGAUUUAGUAAGGAGUGGGAUCAGUGAACAAGUUGAGGAAACUGACCCUGAAUCUGAAGAGCAGACAUCGGGAACCGGAAGUGAUUCAGACUCAUCAGCAUCAGACAGUGAGAAGAUGGCUCGCAGAAGAAAGACAGAGGCCACUGCUGAGGCGGAGCUGGAGACAAGCUCCCGCAGCUCAAGGAGAAGCAAGAGGGUGAGUGAGGCAGCAGCAGCAGCAGCUGAAGAGAACAGCACUGACAGCCCUCAGGAGGUAGAAGAAACGCAGCGGGUGUCACAGAGCAGCUCUCGAAGCUUGAGCAAGAAGGACAGCAGUAAUGGUGAUGUGCAAGAGGAGGAGACUACCAGAGUAAGCCGUUCCCGACACAGCUCCAGGAGCAGAAGUGUGGACAAGGACAAGGUGGCUGACAGUGAAGGAGCAAAAACUAGAGGCCGGCAAGUGCGAAGUGAGAGCAUGGAGCAGGAGCAAGAGGAGCAGGAGCAGGCAGUGACCACAACCAGGAGGAGGAGGAAAAGUGGCAGUGUAGAGAAGGAUGCUCCCAAGACCCCGCUGAGGAGGUCGCGCCGCAUGUCACGAGGUGGAAGCACAGAACCAGAGGAAGUGGAAGAACCAGCUGAGGCAAAGUUGGUUGAUGGCGCACCCAAGAAAUUGGAAGACAUCCAAGAGUUGAAUGAAAACUGUAGUGAAACACCCAAAAAAUCAGCUGAGGCCAAGGAGCCUUGUGAGAAUUCUAGGGUAGAGUCACCAGUGAAAGAAGAAAAUGAAAUUUCCACCAAGGAUGGUCUAGGUAAGGCUCCGAACACUGCAAAGCCCAAAAGAGACUCAAAGGAGAAGGAAGAAGGUGCUGAGGCAUCAGAGAAAAAUGAAGCCAAUACUAAAGAGACAGAAGAAGCUCCUGCAGAGGAAUCUCCCAAGAAGUCACAAGAUGACUCCCUCAGCAAAUCACGUGAGAAAUCACCAAGGAAACACAGAGAAGAAUCGUCCAGCAAAGACAAAGAUGAGAGCUCGGAUGAAGGAGCAACAGGGGAAGGCCCAUCACCCCAUGAAAGAAGUUUGAGAGAGUCGGAGGAUCACAAUAGGAAGAGAAGCCUUAGUGGUAGGAGUGGUAAUGAGGAGGAAGAAGUUGAAGAGGACAGCAAAAAUUCCACAAACGACAAGAAGGAAAGCUCAAUGUCUCGGCCCCGACUGCAGAGGAACGAGGUCAAAAUGCUGGAGGUAAAGGCUGAGCAGCCAGAGAAGAGCCGCAAGGACAGGUCACGCUCCAGCAGCAGAUCAUCUAAGAGCCCCUCAAGAUCACCCUCACCAAAGAAGGCUAAGCAGGAACAGCCCAAGCUGAACAGCCGCAGAGACUCGGUUAGUGGAGAUGAGAGGGAUGACAGAAGACGCAGCACUGACAAACGGCGAGACUCCUCAAGCAGGAGCAGACGUGAUUCUGAGACUUCCAAGGAUGCAUCGAGACCGAAGCUCAACAGGAACGAGGUGAAGGUUCCAGAGGCAAAGGCUGGCAAGAUGGAGAGGAAGAGCAGGAAAGAUCGCUCACCCUCAGAAAGCAGGUCAUCCAGCGAUUCUUCCCGGUCCCCUGCCCACAAGAAGCACAAGAAACGUUCCUCUUCAUCCUCGUCCUCAAGUUCUUCUAGCAACUCCUCCCGCUCAAGAUCAGGCUCUGGCCACCGCAAGAGGUUUGGCAGUGCAAGCAAGAAGAAGCCAGAAGUUGAUUCAUCAAGGUCUUCCCCGAGCAAGAGGCAAUUCCUUGCUUCCCCCGACCGUUCCAGAGCAAAGGAUAACGGUGAGGAGUCCAAGGGACGACAUGUACCCGCGGUGCCAGAGAAGAGGAGUCGCCAUUCACGCUCUCGGUCAAGAUCUCCCAAAACCAAGACCCAUAAGCAAGAUGGAAACUCCUAUGAAUCCAAAAAGGACAGCAAAUCAUGGUCUGACAGCAGGAAGGACAGCCAAAACUCUGACAGGAGACAACAAGAGGAGGAGGAGAAGGAGAACAAGGAAACAAAGCCUAUAAUAGAUUAUUCCUCUUUCAAGUCAGUGAGGAAAGUAAGCUUAUCUCGAGGCAAGUCAAAGGAUGAAGAAGCUGAAAAAGACACGGACAAGCCAAAGAAGAGGAAGUGGGGUAAUUCAUCCUCAAGGAAAAUGUCAGUUGAUAUUUCCUCAGCUUCCCUUAAGACCAUUAUCCCAGAUGUGAAGCCCCUCCUGCCCUCGGAACUGCACAUGGGUGAAGACUCGGAACCCGAGUCUGGAGAGGCCAGUGAUGCUGAGGGACCUGAACCACCCCCCACCCUGGCUCAGGAGGUCAAGGAAGAGCUAAUGGAAGAGGGCGAGGAGGCCAGACCCAGGCGUGAGGUGCGGGAGGUUUCCCCAGUGGCAGUCAAACAGAGAAAGCGAUCCAAGUCGCCUGAGGAGAAAGCCAUGAGGAAGAUCAGGAUGUACGAAGGGCCACCGGUAAGCAAGCCGGCCGUCCCCCCUGCACGAAACCCACCUUCCAGAGUAGUGUUCAUUCAGCACCUAGUCCGGCCCUUCACCAUCAACCAGCUGCGCGAGUUGCUGCAGAGAACUGGUCGAUUAGUAGAUAAUGGUUUCUGGAUUGACAACAUCAAGUCCAAGUGCUUGGCAAUGUAUGAAAAUGAGGAUCAGGCUCAAGAAACCCGUGUUGCUCUGCAUGGUGUUAAAUGGCCAAUGUCAAACCCAAAGAAUUUGUUUGUCGAUUUUUCCACUGAGGAGGAGAUGAAAAAGAGACUAGAGGAAAAUGCUCCUCCUCCCCAGAAAGCCGUAGAAGAAAAACGAGAUGAUAAGUGGAAACGUGAAGGGCCAGUGCGUGAGUGGGACUUGGCGAAGAUAGGAGAGCGCUCGCCAGGGGAGAGGGAGCGGGAACGCGAGAGGCUGAGAAGAGAGAGGGAGGAGGAGAGAAUGAGAGAACGCCGCAAGAGCCAGAGUCCAAGUGGGGCUGAAGGUGAAAAACAGAAAAAGAAACCAGAGGAACCUCCUGCCAAGCUGCUGGAUGAUUUGUUCCGCAAAACCAAGGCACAGCCGGCUAUAUACUGGCUGCCGCUGACCACCGAACAGAUUGCCGAGAAGGAGGCGCAGCGACGCCAGAAGAUGGCUGAGGUGGAGCGCCUUCAGGCAGAGAUGAAAGCAGCCAAGGAGAAGGAAAAUGAAGAAUGGGAGAAAAUCCGAGCCGAGAGAAAGAAGGAGCGUGAAAAGGAACGUGAGAAGGAGAGGGAGAGGGAGAAGGAGCGUGAGAAGGAGAGAGAACGGGAGAGAGAGAAGGAGAAGGAGAAGAACGCUCGCAGGUCCCGCUCAAGGUCGAGGUCCCGGAGGAGGAGCCGUUCCUCAAGGAGGUCACCACGAAGGUCCCCGAGGAGGUCGCCCCGCAGGUCCCCCAGAAGGUCACCCAGACGCUCUCCCAAAAGGUCACCGAGAAGGUCGGCAGGGAAGUCUCCUCGAAGAUCACCGCAACGUUCCCGGCGUUCCGCCAGCAGGGAGUCGCGACGAUCUCGCCGGAGGAGCCGCAGCCGUUCAAGAUCCCGCACUUGAUUCCAUGAAGGCAUUUUGAUGAGGGGAGCUCACAACCAUGUGAAGGAAACAUGAAAGAGAAAGAGAGAGCUUGCAAAAUCACGUAAAUGAAUCCAAAUGCAACAAGAGGAGGAGGAGGACAAGUUACCACUACAACUGAUUGCUGGGCCCUACCGGUCCACAACUUCCUAGAAGCAGUACUGUACUAAAACAAAAGAGGCUUCAGCACACCAGCUCCGACGCACCAGUCCUCUACCACCUACAAGAAGAGCAUUGGGUGGUAAGGGAAGUGUUGAAAGCGUUAUGGGUGACGAGAGAGCUCCUGCGCUGUGAGAUUCACCGAUGACUCGUCAGGGUACCAGCGGGAACUACGAUGAUCACCAGUACUGACCAGCGUUUGUCCUAUAGCUUCCUCAUGGAAUGCCGUUCGCAAAGCUGCACAGCUUUUCUAAAUGCCUCAAGAGGCCCAAAACGUAAGGGAAAGACAGUUGUUUCCAUCCCUCGACGACCAAAUUAAUAAUGGACCGUACCUGCGGGUACUUGAAAACAUGAAUUGACAAAUUGAAGUGUUUUAUCCCUCUUGCGGAUCACGAUGAAGAGACAACACAGCAGUGAUGAAAUCAAGGCUUGUGAAUGGCUUGAAGUGAAAAGGUGAUAGCAAAUUGUUGAAGUGUGUCCGAGUUAUUUAAAGAUGCAGACAAAAAGUGAUAUAGAAAAUCUGGGUUUACCGACUUGUAUCAAUUAAUUAUUGCACUUGAUCAUGGGAGAACAUAUCCAAGCACCAAGUGCCUGGAACAAACAGUGAUGCAGUGCCGUGCAUUAGUGACUGACUGAAGGGUAAACAACCCUCUCCCCUCUGAUUGUAUGGAGUACAAAAAUUUUAGUGAUGUGUAAACCCAGGUGGAUAAGGAGAUGGACAUCUGUGGAGAAGCAUGAUGCUCUCCAGGUGUGUGAACCACAUAUAAAGUUAACACGUGCUGAUUUAUGUAGGUCUACGGAUAUAUACAUUACACAGAUAAAACUUUUCAGUUUAGAGUAUUUUGAUGUUACAUUUUCAAGUGAAUUUAUGCACUUUAGGUUUUUAUUGUUUGAGAGAGAUCUAAAGAUUUCUUCAGUUGUGAUGAAUUGUGGAUGAUUGUUUAUAAUGGAAUAAAGUAACACCCUUA